UCCAAAAACCUCUCAAGUCUGUGGUUAGG
rnacentral:piRNA from 1 species